UACAGAGGGUGCGAGCGUUGUCCGGAAUCACUGGGCGUAAAGAGUGCGUAGGCGGUUUUCUAAGUUUGGUGUGAAAUCUCCCGGCUUAACUGGGAGGGUGCGCCGAAGACUGGAAGGCUUGAGUAUGGGAGAGGUAAGCGGAAUUCCUGGUGUAGCGGUGAAAUGCGUAGAUAUCAGGAGGAACACCUGCGGUGUAGACGGCUUACUGGACCAUCACUGACGCUGAGGCACGAAAGCGUGGGUAGCAAACAGG
rnacentral:rRNA from 1 species